GACACAGCAAUUUCAGCUAUUCAUGGGGUUAGUUCUGGGAGUCUCUUUAUCAAGUAGGAUAUUUGAUCUGGAAAGACUUUUCAAUAAUCCUGUUUUUAAGAGUAGUCAGAAGAAAUGUUCUUAGCUUUCUUCAGCGCUAGGAGCAAUCCUUCCAUCCUGGGAGCAGUUAUCCUGCAUCCAAGAGGAGCUUCAUUUCUACUUUUUCCUCCUCGAAGGAGACUGUGGCCUGAUCUUCAUGGAGGAGAGCAAGGCAACACUCCAGUUCUCCAAGAAUGAACAAAGUAUAAAAGCAAACUCAAGAAUUACUGACAAACCUAAAAGAUAUUUCAAAUGGUGGGAAGAUGGCAUCCAGCUGAUAUAAGAGAAGGCCUGCUGGUAAGUCAGCCAGAAUUCUCCUGUGUGUUUAGGAAUGAACAACCCUGCAAAGCACUGGCAUACGUACAUCGACAUCCAAAAAUACACCCGGACAGCGCAUCUUAAAACUGUGUGUGAGAGAAGGAGGAUGGCUCUCCCAAAACCUUGUAUUCUGCUGGACCUGAUGUGUGGGUCUGUGGCAGUGCUGCUAUGUGUCAGGAGCCUAACCCACGCUAAGCCCCACGCUAAGCCUCUGAAGGUAUAAAGUUAAAAUCCUUAUUCUCCUCUGGCUGACUGUGCAUGAGUUAUUCUUCCGCUAUUGUGCAAAUAAAGAAAUAAAGUGGCAUUAAGAGACGAAGGGUAGAA